rnacentral:rRNA from 1 species
AUUGAACGCUGGCGGCAUGCCUUACACAUGCAAGUCGAACGGCAGCACGGGUGCUUGCACCUGUUGGCGAGUGGCGAACGGGUGAGUAAUACAUCGGAACAUGUCCUGUAGUGGGGGAUAGCCCGGCGAAAGCCGGAUUAAUACCGCAUACGAUCCACGGAUGAAAGCGGGGGACCUUCGGGCCUCGCGCUAUAGGGUUGGCCGAUGGCUGAUUAGCUAGUUGGUGGGGUAAAGGCCUACCAAGGCGACGAUCAGUAGCUGGUCUGAGAGGACGACCAGCCACACUGGGACUGAGACACGGCCCAGACUCCUACGGGAGGCAGCAGUGGGGAAUUUUGGACAAUGGGCGAAAGCCUGAUCCAGCAAUGCCGCGUGUGUGAAGAAGGCCUUCGGGUUGUAAAGCACUUUUGUCCGGAAAGAAAUCCUUGACUCUAAUACAGUCGGGGGAUGACGGUACCGGAAGAAUAAGCACCGGCUAACUACGUG